AACCUUUUUCAGUUCAUAAGCCUGAUAAUUAGGUGUUCACAUGUUGUGAUAUAUUCCUCUCUUAAAUAUCGUUAUGUUGUUGGCACAUUUACCCAUCUGAUG